UGCCUAGCAACUCCUAUCCCUACCUCCUCGUGGUACUCAGGGAAGAUCGGGUUACCAACCCCAGUGGGAACUUUGUUCGUGGGCUGACAGGGAUAGG
rnacentral:ribozyme from 1 species